rnacentral:tRNA from 2 species
GCGACCGUAGCUCAGCUGGUUAGAGCACCGGUUUGUGGUACCGGAUGUCGCGGGUUCAAGUCCCGUCGGUCGCCCCA